CAGGCAGCUCAGCACCUGAUGCUUCUCAGAGACCCUGGAAGAAGCCAUGGCAGGGCCCUUCUUGUCACCUGUGUGACUCUCCCAAUGCCACUGCAAGUCUGAACCAAAGGCAGCCACAGAGAGACAGUGCCCAGGGUCCCCAGACGCUGGGCCCCAUUGCCCAGGACCCCUUCACCUCCAAGCUGGAGGUCUCCUGUUGGAGGUGGAACUGUCGUGUGCUGGGAGCCGAGGAGGCUGCCGGUCUCAUGAGAGCACGUUGUGGUGAGGGAGUCUGGCCUCAGAGAUGUGCAGGGUGCAGAGGAGGGACGUGCUGCCCAUCAGCACAGACAGGCUGGCAGGCACAUGGGGGGUGGGACAGGGCCACAGCAGCCCUGACUGACCUCAGUGCCAGCAAAGGAAGUGCUGCCUGGUGGCCUGCGGUUCCUGGGAGGCUAGACCCUGGGCUUGCUUCCUUGGGUGCCCAGCAUGCCUGUGGCCUCUCAUGGGUACUCACCGAUCCCUGUCCCAUCCAGUCACCAGCUCAUCUGCUGCCCUCAAGUUUCCACCUGGACAGUCCUGCCCAGGCAGACACUGUCUGGUGCUCCCUUCUCCCCGUCCCCCUGAACACACUUGCCACUUGUGCUUCAGGGAAGCCCCGGCGGGAACCUGGGCCCACCAAGAGUGCAGUUGGGGCAGGUGAAGGGUGGGCUGUCGCAGUGAGCCUCCUGCUUUUCAUCCUGCGUCUGCACAGCCAUGUUCUGAAUCUGGGGACAGUGUUGUUGGAGCACACAGCUGGCCCUCGUCUGUGGCAGUGUGCAGAGCGUGUGUGUCCACACUCCACAGAGUCCCUCUGCAGGCCACUGUGCCGUGCCCUCAGCUGCCACUUUGGUGGUGCCCUGCUGUCCGUCUGGAGGAGGCUUCCCCAUCGAGGGUGCAGUGUGCUGCCUUGUGGCCCCACCCUGUCUGCUGUCCCCUGCCCCCGCCACACAGUCCCACAGCAGGCUCACAGAACCGUAGAAACUGG
rnacentral:lncRNA from 1 species